rnacentral:rRNA from 1 species
GAUGAACGCUAGCGGCAGGCCUAACGCAUGCAAGUCGAGGGGGAAGUUACUUUCGGGUGACUGAGACCGGCGUACGGGUGCGUAACGCGUAUACAAUCUGCCUUUCACUGGGGGGUAGCCCGAAGAAAUUUGGAUUAAUACCCCAUAGUAUAUAGGGACGGCAUCGUUUUUAUAUUAAAGCUUAGGUGGUGAAAGAUGAGUAUGCGUUCUAUUAGCUAGUUGGAGAGGUAACGGCUCCCCAAGGCGAUGAUAGAUAGGGGUUCUGAGAGGGAUGUCCCCCACACUGGUACUGAGAUACGGACCAGACUCCUACGGGAGGCAGCAGUGAGGAAUAUUGGACAAUGGUCGGAAGACUGAUCCAGCCAUGCCGCGUGCAGGAUGAAGGUCUUAUGGAUUGUAAACUGCUUUCGUAAGGGAAGAAUAAGGGCUACGCGUAGUUUGAUGACGGUACCUUACGAAUAAGCAUCGGCUAACUCCGUG